CAAAGAGUUCUCCAUGUCCUAUAUUGUUGUGAGCCAUUUUGCGAAACAUUUGAGAGAGCACAGUUUGAAAUUUACCACGUUUCAGGUAAGAAGAAUAAUGAGGAUGUUGAUCGUCUUUCUACCAGGAUUACUACCCUAAACCUCUGAUAACGGAAAAGCCUGGAGACAGUUACAAAAGGACCAGCUUCACAAUGAAAAAGGGUAGGCCUGGGUCGAUUUUACAUACUUGCCAUCUGAUGGGUGCAAAGUUUUGAGGGAUUGUUGCAGAAAUAGGCAACGCGGAAAGUUGGUAGCCCUCUAUCCAGAUGGAGACAAGUGGAUCAUAAAGGAUGUCUUAAAAAGUCAGAUGGAGACAAGUUGGUCGUAUUUUGAGCCCUGUGAGCCGCUAGCAUGAGGUCGCCAGCGAGUGCCUGAAC
rnacentral:lncRNA from 1 species